GACCUCGGAUCAGGUAGGAAUACCCGCUGAACUUAAGCAUAUCAAUAAGCGGAGGAG
rnacentral:rRNA from 1 species